rnacentral:rRNA from 1 species
AUUGAACGCUGGCGGCAGGCCUAACACAUGCAAGUCGAACGAGUGGCGGACGGGUGAGUAAUGUCGGGGAAACUGCCUGAUGGAGGGGGAAAACUACGGGAAACGGUAGCUAAUACCGCAUACCAUCGGAUGUGCCCAGAUGGGAUUAGCUUGUUGGUGGGGUAACGGCUCACCAAGGCGACGAUCCCUAGCUGGUCUGAGAGGAUGACCAGCCACACUGGAACUGAGACACGGUCCAGACUCCUACGGGAGGCAGCAGUGGGGAAUAUUGCACAAUGGGCGCAAGCCUGAUGCAGCCAUGCCGCGUGUAUGAAGAAGGCCCUCGGGUUGUAAAGUACUUUCAGCUGGGAGGCGUUACCCGCAGAAGAAGCACCGGCUAACUCCGUGCCAGCAGCCGCGGUAAUAC